rnacentral:rRNA from 1 species
UACGAAGGGAGCUAGCGUUGUUCGGAAUUACUGGGCGUAAAGGGCGCGUAGGCGGAUGGCACAGUCAGAUGUGAAAUUCCCGGGCUUAACCUGGGGGCUGCAUUUGAUACGUGUUGUCUGGAGUGAGGAAGAGGGUCGUGGAAUUCCCAGUGUAGAGGUGAAAUUCGUAGAUAUUGGGAAGAACACCGGUGGCGAAGGCGGCGACCUGGACGGACAUUGACGCUGAGACGCGAAAGCGUGGGGAGCAAACAGG